GCUUGGGUGGCUCAGUUGGUUAGAGCGCAGGUCUCAUAUGUUUGUAUGAGGGUUUAACUUCAAACCCGUAAUCCUGAGGUCAUGAGUUCGAUCCUCAUCCCGAGCA
rnacentral:tRNA from 1 species